GAUGAACGCUGGCGGCGUGCUUAACACAUGCAAGUCGAACGAAGCACUCAUGACAGAUUCUUCGGAUGAUGGAUUGAUUGACUGAGUGGCGGACGGGUGAGUAACGCGUGGGUAACCUGCCUCAUACAGGGGGAUAACAGUUAGAAAUGACUGCUAAUACCGCAUAAGCGCACAGUACCGCAUGGUACGGUGUGAAAAACUCCGGUGGUAUGAGAUGGACCCGCGUCUGAUUAGCUAGUUGGUGGGGUAACGGCCUACCAAGGCGACGAUCAGUAGCCGGCCUGAGAGGGUGAACGGCCACAUUGGGACUGAGACACGGCCCAAACUCCUACGGGAGCAGCAGUGGGGAAUAUUGCACAAUGGGGGAAACCCUGAUGCAGCGACGCCGCGUGAGCGAUGAAGUAUUUCGGUAUGUAAAGGCUCUAUCAGCAGGGAA
rnacentral:rRNA from 1 species